rnacentral:rRNA from 1 species
GAUUAAGUUAUUAAGGGCGCACGGUGAAUGCCUUGGCACUAGAAGCCGAUGAAGGACGUUACUAACGACGAUAUGCUUUGGGGAGCUGUAAGUAAGCUAUGAUCCAGAGAUUUCCGAAUGGGGGAACCCAACACGAGUUAUGUCGUGUUAUCGACAUGUGAAUUCAUAACAUGUCAGAAGGUAGACCCGGAGAACUGAAACAUCUUAGUACCCGGAGGAAUAGAAAGAAAAUUCGAUUCCCUGAGUAGCGGCGAGCGAAACGGGAAGAGCCCAAACCAAUGAGCUUGCUCAUUGGGGUUGUAGGACACUCUAUACGGAGUUACAAAUGUAUUUGUUAGACGAAGUAGUUGGAAAGCUACAUCAAAGAAGGUAAUAAUCCUGUAGUCGAAAAUGAAUACACUCUUGAGUGGAUCCUGAGUACGACGGAGCACGUGAAAUUCUGUCGGAAUCUAGGAGGACCAUCUCCUAAGGCUAAAUACUCUCUAGUGACCGAUAGUGAACCAGUACCGUGAGGGAAAGGUGAAAAGUACCCCGGAAGGGGAGUGAAAAAGAACUUGAAACCGUGUGCUUACAAGUAGUCAGAGCCCGUUAAUGGGUGAUGGCGUGCCUUUUGUAGAAUGAACCGGCGAGUUACGAUCUGAUGCAAGGUUAAGCAGUGAAUGUGGAGCCGUAGCGAAAGCGAGUCUGAAUAGGGCGAAUGAGUAUUUGGUCGUAGACCCGAAACCAGGUGAUCUACCCAUGGUCAGGUUGAAGUUCAGGUAACACUGAAUGGAGGACC